GCUGUGGGCCCUGAAAGUUGUCGAGUGCGCCUGUCCCUGUGGUGGGAGCAGUGGCGCCGAGCGUGCCCACGGGCCGCCGCUUGGGUUUCUCUCGUGUUCAGGGUAGUAUGGACGUGGACAAUGGCAGUGGCCCCUGGCUGGCCCAAGAGCCGGGUCCAGAUACGCGCGCCUGAUUCCAGGCGUCAUAACCAACCCGGGGCCGCGAGGCUGGGAUCAGGCACCCCGGAGCCGCUUGCCCGUGGCCGGGCUGCUCUCCCCCUCUAAGCCUAAGCACCGCCAGUCGCGGCGCUGCGCUUUCCGCCGACCUCCCAGAGCGUCCCGCCGUCGCCGGCGGCCAGCCUCGCGCAGGACCAGUGUGGCGCCGCCCUGCUGUUGCUGGGGGGCGCCCGAGGCCUCCAUUCCUUGCCCAGGCUUCCGGCUCUCGGGGCGGCCUCCCUUCCGCCCACGCUCCAGGGCUUCCCCGGCUCCCGAGCUCCGAGCUUCCACCACAUCGGCCGGCUCAGGACAGAACCCAGAGUUGAUCUCUGCAGCAUGCCAUCACUGCUGGGGAUGAGGAAACGGUGAUUUCAGGACUGUUUUUUCUGUCUCUUCAGUGCCUCUUUCAGUGAUCUGAGGUUAAAACCAGACUAUGGAGGAUUCAUCAACAGACCAGGAAGCAACAGCCUGGGCUCCAGAAUUGACCAGUAGUCCGUGCACAGACGAGGAGAGGUCCCAUGAAACUUCGGCGCAGUCUGGGAACCGAGCUCUUUUUGUAACAAGUUGUUUGUCAGGAGGCCCGGUCAUGAAAGCCCUUCCUGACUGGGCUCAAGGAAUACAAAAAGGACAACUUGUUUUUGCCAUUGUCUGUUGUUUUUCAAUAACUAGUUCUCCGAAACAGCACUGGAUGAAUGCCUCAAGGGGCUCACACAACUCGUUCCAGGACUUAGUGACCAUUGUUUCUGUCCCUGUUCAAUAGAGUUCAAAUUUAAUAUUUAAAUUUUGCUCCACAAUGUGCCAUAUUAUCUGUAUCCAACCUGUCAUUGGGCAUUUAGGUUGAUUCCAUGUCUUUACUAUUGUGAAUAAUGCUGCAAUAAACAUUUACGUGCUUGUGUCUUUAUGAUAGAACAAUUUAUAUACCUCUGGGUAUAUACCCAGUAAUGAGAUUGCUGGGUCAAGUGAUAGUUCUGCUUUUAUCUCUUUCGAGGAGAGCACUGUUGUGCUUUCCACAAUGGUGGGACCAAUGUACACUCCCAAGCAUCUGUCAUUUUUUGACUUUUUCAUAAUAGCCAUUCUGACUGGUGUGAGAUGGUGUCUCACUGUGCCUUGGAUUUGCAUUUCUCUAAUGAUCAGUGAUACUGAGCUUUGUAUUCUAUGGUUGUUGGUCACAUGUAUGUAUUCUUUUGAAAAGCAUUCAUGUCCUUUGCCCACUUUUUAAACAUUUUUUUAUUUCCAUAGGUUUUAGGACAACAGGUGGCAUUUGGUUACAUUAGUAAGUUCUUUAUUGAUUUGUAAGAUUUUGGUGCAUCCAUCAACUCAUCUGUAUACACUGAACCCAAUUUGUAGCCUUUUAUCACUCACCCCCUUCUCCCGUUUCUCCCUGAGUCCCCAAAGUCUAUUGUGUCAUUCUUAAGCUUUUGCAUCCUUAUAGCUUAGCUCCCAAUUAUAAGUGAGAAUAUAUGAUGUUUGGUUUUCCAUUCCUGAGUUACUUCACUUAGAAUAAUAGUCUUCAAUCCCAUCCAGGUUGCUGCAACUGCCAUUAAUUCAUUUCCUCUUUAUGGCUGAGUAGUAUUCCAUUGUGCAUAUAUACCACGGUUUCUUCAUCCACUCGUUGAUUGAUGAGCAUUUGGAUUGGUUCAACAUUUUUGCAAUUGCAAAUUGUGCUGCUAUAAAUAUAUGUGUGCAGGUAUCUUUUUUGUAUAAUGACUUUUUUUUCCUCUGGGUACAUAGCCAGUAGUGGGAUUGGUGGGUCAAAUAGUACUUCUACUUUUAGUUCUUUAAGGAAUCUCCACACUGUUGUCCAUAGUGAUUGUACUAGUUUACAUUCCCACCAGCAGUGUAGAAGUGUUCCCUUUUCACUACAUUCACAUCAACAUCUAUUUUUUUUUUAUUAUGACCAUUCUUGAGAGAGUAAGGUGGUAUCACAUUGUGGUUGUAAUUUGCAUUUCCCUGAUCAUUAGUGAUGUUGAGCAUAUUUUCAUAUGUUUGUUGGCCAUUUGUAUAUCUUCUGAGAAUUGUCUAUGACCAUACUGCCAAAAUCAAUCUACAAAUUCAAUGCAAUUGCCAUCAAAAAACCAUCAUCAUUCUUCACAGAACUAAAAAAAAAAAUCCUAAAAUUCAUAUGGAACCAAAAAAGAGCCCACAUAGCCAAAGCAAUACUAAACAAAAAGAACAAAUCAGAAGGCGUCACAUUACCUGAUUUCAAACUAUAUCGUAAGACCAUAGUCACCAAAACAGCAUGGUUCUGGUAUAAAAACAGGCACAUAGACAAAUGGAACAUAAUGGAGAACCCAGAAAUUAACACAAAUAUUUACAAUCAACUGAUCUUUGACAAAGCAAACAAAAACAAAGUGGGGAAAGAACACCCUACCCAACAAAUGGUGCUGGGAUAAUUGGCAAGCCACAAGUAGGAGAAUGAAACUGGAUCUUUAUCUCUCACCUUAUACAAAAAUCAACUCAAGAUGGAUCAAGGACUUAAAUCUAGGACCUGAAAGUAUAAAAAUUCUAGAAGAUGACAUCAAAAACACCCUUCUAGACAUUGGCUUAGCAUGGAUUUCAUGACCAAGAACCCAACAGCAAAUGCAAGAAAAACAAAGAUAAAUAGUUGGGAUUUAAUUAAACUAAAGAGCUUUUUCGCGGCAAAAGGAACAGUCAGCAGAGUUAACAGAAAAUCCACAGAAUGGGAGAAAAUCUUCACAAUCUGUAUAUCUGACAAAGAACUAACAUCCAGAAUCUACAACGAGCUCAAACAAAUUAGCAAGAAAAAAACAAACAAUCCCAUCAAAAAGUAGGCUAAGGACAUGAAUAGACAAUUCUUUGGCCACUUUUUAAUAGGGUUGUUUGUUUUUCUCUUGUAAAUUUAAGUUCCUUAUAUUGAAUAUUAGAUCUUUGUCAGAUACAUAGUUUGUAAAUAUUUUUUCUCAUUCUACAGGUUGUCUGUUCACUCUAUUGAUAAUUUCUUUUGCUGAGCAGAAGAUUUUAAGUUUAAUUAGAUCCCACUUGUCAAUAGUUGCAUUUGUUGUUUUUGGUGUCUUUAUCAUGAAAUCUUUGCCUGUUUCUAUGUCCAGGAUGGUAUUGCCUAUGUUGUCUUCCAGGGCUUUUUAUAGUUUUGGGUUUUACAUUUAAGCAUUUAAUCCAUCUUGAGUUGAUUUUUGUGUAUGGUAUAAGGAAGCAGUCCAACUUCAAUCUUCUGCAUAUGGCUAGCCAGUUAUCACAGCACCAUUUAUUGAAUACGGCAUCUUUUCCCCAUUGCUUGUUUUUGCCAGCUUUGUCAAAGAUUAGAUAGUUGUAGGUAUGUGGUCUUAUUUCUAAGCUCUCUAUUCUGUUCCAUUGGUGUAUGUGUCUGUUUUUGUAUUAGUACCAUGCUGUUUUGGUUACUAUAGUGCUGUAGUACAGUUUGAAGUCAGGUAAUGUGAUGCCUCAAGCUUUGUUCUUUUUGCUUAGGAUUGCCUUGGCUACUUAGGUUCUUUCUUGGUUCUAUAUGAAUUUUUAAAUAGCUUUAUCUACUUCUGUGAAGCAUGUCAUUGGUAGUUUAAUAGGAAUAGCUUUGGGCAGUAUGACCAUUUAAAUGAUAUUACUUCUUUCUCUCCAUUAUCAUGGAAUGAUUUUUCAUUUGUUUGUGGCUUCUCUAACUUCUUUGAUCAGUGUUUUAUAAUUUUCAUUGUAGAGAUUUUUCACCUCCCUGGUUAGCUGUAUUCGUACGUAUUUUAUUCUUUUUGUGGAAAUUGUGAAUAAAAUUGCCUCUCUGAUUUGGCUCUUAGUUUGUCUCUUCUUGGUGCAUAGGAAUGCUAGCAAAUUUUGUAUAUUAAUUUUGUAUCCUGAAACUUUGUGGAAGUUGUUUAUCAGCUUAAGGAGCUUUUGGGUCACAACUAUAGAGUUUAGAUAGAGAAUUAUAUUGUCUGCAAACAGAGGUAGUGGGACUUCUCUUUCUAUUUAAAUACCUUUAUUUCUUUCUCUUGUCUGAUUGCUCCAGAAAGGACUUCUAAUACUAUGUUGAAUAGGAGUGGUGAAAGAGGGCAUCCUUGUCUUGUGCGGGUUUCAAGGAGAAUGCUUCCAGAUUUUGCCCAUUUAGUAUAAUGUUGGCUGUGAAUUUGUCAUAGGUGGCCUUUAUUAUUUUGAGGUAUGUUCCUUCGAUACCUCGUUUAUUGAGAAUUUUUAACAUGAAGCUUUGUUGAAUUUUACUGAAAGCCUUUUCUGCAUCUGUUGAGACAGUCACAUGGUUCUUAUCUUUCGUUUUAUUUAUAUUAUGAAUCACAUUUUAUUGAUUUGCCCAUGAUGGACCAACCUUCCAUUCCAGGGAAGAAGCUUACUUCACUAUGGUGAAUUAGCCUUUUGAUGUGUUGCUAGAUUCAGUUUGCAAGUAUUUUAUUGUGGAUUAUUGAAUGGAUGUUCAUCAAGGAUACUGGCCUGAAGGUUUCUUUCUUUGUUGUGUCACUGCCAGGCUUUGGUAUCAGGAUGAUGCUGGCCUCGUAGAACAAGUUGGGGAAGAGUCCCUCCUCCUCUAUUUCUUGAAAUAGUUUUAGUAGGACUGGUACUGGCUCUUCUUUGUACAUCUGUUAAAAUUUGUUAAUCUAUCAGGUCCUGGGCUUUUAUGGGAGGUUGGUAGGCUAUUUAUUACGGAUUCAAUUUUUGGAGCUCAUAAUUGAUCUGUUCAGAGACUGAAUUUCUUCCUGGUUCAGUCUUGAGAGAGUGUAGGUGUUCAGGAAUUUAUUCAUCUCUUCUAGGGUUUCUAGUUUGUGUGUGCAGAGGUGUUCAUAGUAGUUGCUGGUUGUUAUUUUUAUUUCUGUGAGGUCAGUGGUAACAUUCCCUUCAUCAUUUCUAAUUGUGCUUCUUCGAAUCGUCUCUCUUUUCUUCUUUAUUAGUCUAGCUAGUGCCUAUCUAUCUUACUAAUUUUUUCAAAAAACCUUGAUUAAGUGAUCUUUUGAACAGCUUUUCUUGUCUCAAUUUCUUUCAAUUCAGCUCUGAUUUUAGUUAUUUCUUAUCUUCUAUAAGCUUUGUGUUUGAGUUCUUCUUGCUUCUCUAAUUCUUUCAGUUGUGAUGUUAGGUUGUUAAUUUGAGAUCUUUCUAACUUUUUGAUAUGGGGAUUACUUCUUAUGCCCUACUCUAACUUUUCUCCUUCUCCUAGAAAACUCAGAACUAUGCUUUCUAAACCAAUUCAAACUUUCUCAGUGAAUCAACCUGGUCUCCCUGAGGCAAAGUUAGCAAUUUUCCAUUACACAUGGUUCUCUUUCUCUGUAAGAAUAUCUAAUGCAACGAUGCAAGUGUUUCUUUCCCUCCUGGAUAUGCGGGGAACUACUUUUGGCUGAGACCAAGACUUAAAACCUUGUUCUUUCAACAUUAAUGAAGAUCUAUUUAGAAAGCCUCCAUUUUUACAGAAAAGAUUUAUAAAUACCAAUGAAAAUAAAUAUAAAAUUAUAUGGCAUACAAUUAUAUUGUGGAAAGACUGAACAAAUAAGUGAACUAAGCUCUAAGAAAAAAAGAUGAUGAUAUAAAAUGAUAUAUAAGUAAAGUCCUGGGCUGGUAUAGCAUAAUUAAUGUAUCAGUAAAGUAUGUACACUGUAGAAGUGGCAGGAAGACAGCAUAGAGAGUGAGACCUGACCAAAAGCUUUAAGGAAAGUUCUAUACCCUUAAAAGAGAUUAAAGUGGACUCAGGAAAACAUGGUCCACUUUAGGAGAAGGACACAUGUUCCAGACAGGCCAAAGCUCAGAGCAUCUCUACCUUCUCCAGGAGGAAAGGGGCAGCAAAGCAGCAGGCAGAGGGCAGCAAGGCCAGGUCAGCACAGGGCACCCAGGCCAAACCAGGUGGGCUCCAUCAUACAGGUAGUGAGGAUCCACUGCCAGGUGGGCUUUAUUCAUUAGUUUGUUUUGUUUUCUUCAGUAACUAAGACACGUGAUCAAAGCUGACCUUUCUAAAUAUUGCUGCAGCUGAACAUAAGAUGGAUAAAACUAGUGUUUUAAAAAUUAUGUUGUAUACAGCAUUAGCCCCAGUGAGAUAUUAGUGGAACACACAGGCACACACAUGCACACACACUCACACUGAGCCCAGAUUAUUCUGGCAAAUGCUGGGUUAAGCAAACUAAAAGAAACAUCUUUAGCGCUGGACUUCUCAGAACCUGGAAUGUGGCUCUAUGGCUCAUAAAACAGCAAGGUUAAGACAGAGCAUGUCAUUUUUUUCCCAGAAAUGUUGAAACACUUUCCUUCCCUUGGCUUCAGUGUCACCUUUCUCCUGGUUCUCCAUCAACCUCUUAGGCUGCUCCUUCUUGAUGUCCUUCUUGACAAUCUGCUGCUGCUCAGCCAUUCUCUUUUCAUUCCCCAUGGAUUUCUCAAGUGUGUUUCUAUUCCUGCAUAUUAAACUUUCCUUGUUUUUCCUGACACUUCUCCUUGUCUGACCCUCCCCUGUUCUAAGGCAGGUGUUCCAUCUGUGUGUGCUUUUGUCAUCCUGGGAUGCUCCCAGCAUGUUCCCUACCACACUCCAUCAGGUUUUCUCCCCAGACUCUGCGAGGGCAGCGGCCUUGUCUCCACCAUUCCUUCAAUGCUACGCACAUAACACAGAAGCUGACUCCAUAACAUUUAGUUGGCCAACUGAGACUAAAUGUAUGUUCCUCUAGAUCUUAAAAAGUUACAGAAACAUAGCACAAUAGUCAAAAAUUCUCUUUAGUCAGGAGUUCUCUAUAUAUGUACAACAGUUUGAAGUCAUUAUUAAGCAAAGUGAAACAAAACUGUCACAGAAUUCCCUAAGAUAAAUUAUUUUGCUUUAAUCUUCAAUUCAUCAUGUGAGAUAAUCAAGACCAUGUGUUAUUGUAAAUAUUUCUAUCUCAUAACACAACAACCUGAUUUUUAUUGUUUGAAAUAACCGCAAUAUAAAUCAGUUAAUUUAAAAUUGCAUAAAUAAUCCUUUCAAAUAAAAUUCUGUCUAAAUUUUACAUUACUCAUAUGUUCAAAUGAUAAUGAGCUCAUAGGCUUUUCCAAUACCUCAGUCAAAACAUUGUACUGAUUCCAGCUGUGGGAAUAGUAUCUGAAAGUUAUUUUACAGAUGGGGAAAACGUACUUAUGUGACAUUGGCCUUUGCACUACUGUGCCCUUUUGGGUCAGGAAAAAUCUCUUCCCUUAAAAUCCUAAAAUCUCUUCUGUCAGGUCUGAAGGGUGGGUGGGAAACAGAGUUUUUUAAAUCUAAGCCACAGAUGUUUUAUUCCUUGCUUAAAGCAGUGACUAGAUAAAGGCCACUAGAAGAGCCUCCAAUGCUUCUUCAGAAGCAUGUGCCUGAGAACAUCUUCCUGAAACACUCCCUUGUCUCUGCCCAAAAUCACCUUAGGUAGGAAAGUCAAAACUCAGCAGGCUGAGGAGAUCCAAGGGGAUCACUGAGCUCUGAGGCUUAUAAGAGAAGAGAGAGAGGUCUAAGUUUUUUGUGUAUAAAUUUAUGGGUUACAAGUGCAAUUUUGCUGUAAGCAUGGAUGGCAUAGUGGUGAAGUCAGGGCUUUUAGGGUAUCCAUCACCAGAAUAAUGCACAUUGUACCCAUUAAAUAAUUUCUCACUGUUCACCCCUUCCAUCCCCUCACCCUGCUGUGUCUCCAUUAUUAUUCCACUCUCUACAUCAAUACCUACACAUCUUUUAGCACCCGCUUAUGAGUGAUAAAAUACGAUGUUUACUCUGUGUCUGGCUUGCUUCACUUACAACAAUGGCCUCCAGUUCCAUCCAUGUGUCUGCAAAAGUUAUGAUUCUAUUUUUUGUGCCUGAAUAGUAUUUCAUUUUGUAUAUUUUCUACAUUUUCUUUCUCCAGUCAUUUGUUGAUGGACAUUUAGGUUGAUUUUAUAUCUGUGCUACUGUGAAUAGUGUUGCAACAAAUAUAUAAGUACAGUUAUCUUUCUGAUAUACUGAUUUCUUUUCCUUUGCAUAGAUACCCAGUGGUGGGAUUGCUGAAUCAGACAGAGCCAAUAGACGAUCAGUAAUGGUGGCCAAUCAUCAGCUAGAAACAAAGUAUUUAGCAGUGCUUGAAAACACCAAAACUCUGAGACCACUGACCUUCCAAAACUUCAACAGCCCUGAGUGAAAAGUCCAAACACAUUUAUCCACCAUUCAAAGACCCUUUAUUUUCUGUCCUCUGUGCAUCUCAGUAGUCUCUUUUUACCACACUGUCUAUAUACUGCAUGAGCCAUUUACGUGAAACUAUCUGACACUCCAAGGCAUCUUAUACUAUAUAUUCAACCAUGUAUCCCUAGUACCUAGCACAGUCCUGGCAUAUAGUUUGCUACUAAACAUUUGCAGAAUGAAGGAAUUAUCUUGUAUCCAGGUUCAAGUUUUAAGUUGAUUCUUCACUAAACAAAGUAUUACAGUUCACAAAUAAUCUACUUCCUUUUUUACAAAUGGGAUCGAUCUUAAUCUUAUCCCCUAAUAACAUUACUUUCAUUUACUCCCAUCUAAAUAUACUGUCCUAAGAGAGCAAUAAGAAAGAGAGUUGAAGCUGGAGCUUGAAGAAUUGUACAUGGUCCUGUGAUAACCUACCUUGUUUUAACCUGAGUGACUGUCUCCUAGCAGAGAGCUGGACAGACUCCAUUUUAGUUUCUUCAUGUGCAGCCCCCUUUACCUCCCUCCCUUAAGGACAUAACUAGUGUAAACUGACUCAAAGCAUGUCCAGGAAUCACUUACUGUUAAGAUAUUGAGGCAAGCUGCGCCAGCAGCUCCUGGGGAUGCGCUCGGUGAAUGGCACCCAAAACCCCUGCAUUUCUCUCUUUGUGAUAGUUUAAGCCCCUGCACCUGGAACUGUUUAUUUUUUUGCAACUGCUUUUGUAACCAAUUAAUUUUUUAACUUUUUGCCAGCUCUGCUUCUGUAAAAAUUGCUUCAGCCAAACUCCCCCCUCCCCUAUUUAGACCACGGUAUAAAACCAAAACCAACCCCUUCCUCGGGGCCGAGAGAAUUUUGAGCGUUAGCUGCCUCUCGGUCACCAGCUAAUAGAGGAUUCCUUAAUUUGUCUCAAAGUGUGGCAUUUCUCUAUAACUCGCUGGGUUACAACAGUCCACACUGUGGCCUGAGGCGCAUCGCCCACCUGAGCUUCAUCUGUUAGGUAUGUCAGGGAAGAUAAGCAGGGUAAGGAUGGCCUCAUCAGAGGGCCCCAGAUCUCUAGCUCCCCCAUCUGGCAAGUGCACCUCUGUGAACAAAGUCUUCAGAGCCAGAUGACAAGAACGGCCCAAUCAGUCCACCAGGGAAACCUGGGCCCAGUGUACGUCAAUGCAGAGCAUCAAGCACGGCGUAACAGGUGCACAGUUGCCUAUUCCUGUUCAGAGAUAACUGCAUCCCACACACUGUAAAAUGAGGAAAUGCAGAGAAGCAGAUGUAACUGAAGAAGACAGCAGGAGCAACAAGGAGGGACAACCACGACCUAGGAGGACACCAUGCCAGAGAGGCCUGGACCCCACGCUAGGCUCAGUGCCUGUUAUACUCUUGGGACCCAGCGCUUUCCUUCUCCAUCACGUGGCAUACUUGGCAUUAUUUGUUGUUUAAAAUAUUGUCCUUAGUUUUCACCUUUCCUAGGAGACACAGGCAGACCCUGUGACACUACAGCUGGCACACAGUAGGUGCAUCACAAACAUCUGCUGAGUUCACACACUCUUGCCUUCUCAAACCUUCUUGUCAAGUCUUCAGUGAAAAGGAAUUGCUGAUUGAGCAAGAAUUAAACUUCUAGAGACUCCUGGAUCCACUGAAGUUUGAGACAAGGUGAGAUUUGUUUACUGCCAUAUUCCUAGCUCAUAGCAUACUGUAGUCACUUAAAAAAUGUUUGUUGAAUAAGUGAGUGAAUUGAUUCAAUUGUCAUACUUAGCUAUAUAUUUUCUGAGUAAAACUGAUAAAUUUAAUAGUUUACUUCUAGUAUAAUUUUACUUUACUUAUUCAAUGAACCUGACAAUUCAACUAGGUGCCAGGCACACUGCUGCUGAAGAAAAAGAGGUAUAAGAUACAACUUCUGUCUAUAAGAAAGCCACAGUCUAAAAAGUAGAAACAUAUGAACAAAUUAUAACAAUAAAUAGGCUAAAUUCAAAAUCAGAGGGAUUUGUUUCUAUUUUAAACAGCUCUAGUCAGGAAGUGUUAGAAAGUUCUAAACAGGAAAUGUUCCAACACACCAUCUAAGUAUGAAGCAGAAGUCACCCAUAAUUGAGUUUGCUGCCACCAACCCCAAUAGCAAGAAUUCCAGUCCUGCUGCUGCAAAGUGUCACUCUGAUUUUAUUACUGCUGUGUAACCCAGUUUUAGACACUCUGGUUGUCACUUAAUGUUCUAAAAAAGUAUUAAAGAGAAAAUAUUAUUAUGGUGAUGAGUCCAUCCACUGCAGCCAUCUCAACAUCAUACCAAUUAUAAACCCUAUCAUUUAAAAAGAAAACUGUUAGUUUAACUUAUUUAUCCAAAUAUCAGUAAUACAUAAGCAUAUUUGCCAUCAGACUUUGGAUUUAUGGGUUAAAUAGCAUAUAAAUAUGAUUAGAGCCUUAAAGUUUACACUUUUCUGGUUCGCUCAAAUGUUUUCCAAAAUAGCAUAUGCCUUUCUAAACAAUUGUUAGUAUAUUUUUUAAAAUGAACAUUAAAAUGUAUAUUUUCUGAAAACAAAUACAGCUCCCAUUGGUGAAUGAUGAUAUUGAGAUACGACAGGCAACUUCUCUUGGGAACCAUUUAAUCAGUGCUCACUUUUACACCCUUUUCCGAAAUGUCAAUGGCUUUAAAAUAUAGAAGUAUAUUAUACAACUAAACUUAACACUUAUUCAGUAUUGUGCAAUAUUUAGUACUUGUUCUAGCUAUCUCUUGCUGAAUAGUAAGCCAUUCCAAAACUUAAGGAAUUAUUUAUUGUUUAAUAUUGUUUAUUGUUAUUAUUUGUUUAGUAAUUUUAAAUAACAUUAUUUCUCAUGGUUUUGUGGGUUGAUGGGCACUACAAAAGUUCUCUUUUGGAGUGUUUCUUGCAGUUGUGGUUGGUUGGCUGCUGCUGAAGUCACCUGAAAGCUCAACUAGGCUAAAGAGCCUAGACAGGUCACUCACAUGGCUGGCAGUGCAUAUUGGCUGCUGAGUGUGAUGCCUAUCUGUCCUCUCCAUGUUACCUGGAGUCCUCACAACGUGGUAGUUGGUCCCAAGACACACAGGCAAAUACCACAAAGCUUCUUAUGACCUGGCCUUGGAGGUCCUAGAAUAUGACCUCUGCUGCAUCCUAUUGGUAAAGCAAGUCAUUGUGACCAGCACAGAUUCAAGAAAUGGGACAGUAGACUCUACCUGUCAAGGUAAAGAGCAGCAUGUGCAUGCAGGGAGGAAAGAAAUUGAGGGCAUCAUCUUGAAGACUAUCAUAUCACACUAUUAUUCCAGCUAAUGAACAUUAUGUUUUAGAUGGGUAGUACUAGCUACUCAUGUCUCCCCCAGAAACCCAAGCUAGGCAUGGACAUAUUGAAGACUAUCAUAUCACACCAUUAUUCCAACUAAUGAACAUUAUGGUUUAGAUGGGUAGUACUAGCUAUUCAUCUCUUCCCCAGAAACCCAAGCUAGGCAUUGACAUACUGAAAAGAAUGUCAAUACCAUUAAAAAACUCUAGAAAAAUUAUAUGUGAUGACUGAGGUUAAUUCAGUCUGUCAAUUACAUCAAUAUAAUUCCCUUCUUGUAACACUAAAUAUGGUGAAACAGAAUUGAAUUCUACAAAAGUAUUUC
rnacentral:lncRNA from 1 species